GAUGAACGCUGGCGGCGUGCCUAAUACAUGCAAGUCGAGCCAACAGAUAAGGAGCUUGCUCCUUUGACGUUAGCGGCGGACGGGUGAGUAACACGUGGGUAACCUACCUAUAAGACUGGGAUAACUUCGGGAAACCGGAGCUAAUACCGGAUAACAUUUGGAACCGCAUGGUUCUAAAGUGAAAGAUGGUUUUGCUAUCACUUAUAGAUGGACCCGCGCCGUAUUAGCUAGUUGGUAAGGUAACGGCUUACCAAGGCGACGAUACGUAGCCGACCUGAGAGGGUGAUCGGCCACACUGGAACUGAGACACGGUCCAGACUCCUACGGGAGGCAGCAGUAGGGAAUCUUCCGCAAUGGGCGAAAGCCUGACGGAGCAACGCCGCGUGAGUGAUGAAGGGUUUCGGCUCGUAAAACUCUGUUAUUAGGGAAGAACAAAUGUGUAAGUAACUGUGCACGUCUUGACGGUACCUAAUCAGAAAGCCACGGCUAACUACGUG
rnacentral:rRNA from 1 species